GUCCACAUGAACACAAUGCUCUGCUUGUUUUGUAUGAUAUUAUUUAUAACCUAACAUUGGCAACGCUGAUGAAUACCAUCAUGUGUUAUUUUAAAAAAAAAAUUUUUUUUUAAUAGAAAUUAAAGUUAAAAUGCUCGGUAGCAUAGAACAGUUUGUGCAAGAACAUAAUUUCGGGGAAUAUAUCGAAAGAUUGGAAAAAUUUUUCGUUCGAAAUGAUCUCAAAAAAGAAAAACAAGUUGCAUCGCUAUUAACCUUCAUAGGACAUGAUGCUUACUCAGUACUUGAGAAAAUAUCAUUUACCCUAAAGAACCUAAAGAGCUGGAAUACAACGAGUUGAUAAAGGUUCUCAGAACACAUUACACGCCUGAAGUGAAUGAAAUAUCGAAGAGAUAUAAGUUUCACAAAGAAGACCAAAAAGAAAGGCAAAGUAUAUUGAAGUACAUCAUCGAACUAAAAGCGAAAACUCAGAAAUGUAAGUUUGGUUCAUUUCAGGAAGAGACUUUAAGACACAGGUUCGUGUAUGGGGUAAGAGAAACAAGUUAAGGGCAAUUUUAUUAAAAAAAAAAAUUUGACAUUUGAAAAUGUUUGUAUUUUUGCCAGUUGUUGGAAAAUACAGUAAAAGAAGUUAAACCAAUUUUCAAUUCGACAAAAAAAUUGCAAUGGCAAUUGGAAAAAAGAAAAAAGUACUUUUAAAAAUAAAAUAGCUUGUGGGAAAUAUCAAGUAAUUCAGCAACUAUCGAAGCUAUGGUCAGUGGUACUAACCUAGUCAUGGAUGUGGAUACUUGAGCAUGUGCAUCAGUGAUAAGCAAAACAACUUACAGGCAACUAUUUAGUAAUUUUAAAGAUUUGGUAAAAUAAUUGUUACACUGCAGUAAAAUUAAAUGUAUAGAUGACCAUAUUGAAAAAUACUGAUGUAUAGAUUCACUUGAAAAAACCACUUUAUCACAACUAUAACUAUUAAUACAACAUAAGCACAUUCAAGCACACAGCAAGUUAGUAGUAUUUUAUACUACACUUUUGCAAACAAAAGUCAAGUCACUAGGUUAAAAUAUUAUAACAUUUAAAAUGCAUAUGCUUAUUUGUUUAUUGUUUUUUUUUUUUUGAAAAUGUACAUAAUUUAUUCUUAGA